UCCAGGGUAGCCUAGUGGACAUGGCAUCUGCCCGGUAAGCGGAGCAUUGUGGGUUCGUUUCCCAUCCCUGGCC